rnacentral:rRNA from 1 species
CCUACGGGCGGCAGCAGUGGGGAAUAUUGGACAAUGGGGGCAACCCUGAUCCAGCCAUGCCGCGUGUGUGAAGAAGGCCCUCGGGUUGUAAAGCACUUUCAGUGAGGAAGAACGCCUGGUGGUUAAUACCCAUCAGGAAAGACAUCACUCACAGAAGAAGCACCGGCUAACUCCGUGCCAGCAGCCGCGGUAAUACGGAGGGUGCGAGCGUUAAUCGGAAUUACUGGGCGUAAAGCGCGCGUAGGUGGCUUGAUAAGCCGGUUGUGAAAGCCCCGGGCUCAACCUGGGAACGGCAUCCGGAACUGUCAAGCUAGAGUGCAGGAGAGGAAGGUAGAAUUCCCGGUGUAGCGGUGAAAUGCGUAGAGAUCGGGAGGAAUACCAGUGGCGAAGGCGGCCUUCUGGACUGACACUGACACUGAGGUGCGAAAUCGUGGGUAGCAAACAGGAUUAGAUACCCGAGUAGUC